rnacentral:tRNA from 1 species
ACUUUAGCUUUGGCGCAGUAGGUAGUGCAUCAGUCUCGCAAGCUGAAGGUCCUGAGUUCGAUCCUCAGAUGGAGGA